rnacentral:rRNA from 1 species
GAUGAACGCUGGCGGCGUGCUUAACACAUGCAAGUCGAACGGAAAGGCCUCUGCUUGCAGGGGUACUCGAGUGGCGAACGGGUGAGUAACACGUGGGUGAUCUGCCCUGCACUUCGGGAUAAGCCUGGGAAACUGGGUCUAAUACCGGAUAGGACAAUGGUUUGGAUGCUGUUGUGGAAAGUUUUUCGGUGUGGGAUGAGCUCGCGGCCUAUCAGCUUGUUGGUGGGGUAAUGGCCUACCAAGGCGUCGACGGGUAGCCGGCCUGAGAGGGUGUACGGCCACAUUGGGACUGAGAUACGGCCCAGACUCCUACGGGUGGCAGCAGUGGUGAAUAUUGCACAAUGGGCGCAAGCCUGAUGCAGCGACGCCGCGUGGGGGAUGACGGCCUUCGGGUUGUAAACUCCUUUCGCUAGGGACGAAGCGUUUUUGUGACGGUACCUGGAGAAGAAGCACCGGCUAACUACGUG